GACGAACGCUGGCGGCGUGCUUAACACAUGCAAGUCGAACGCUGAAGCUUGGUGCUUGCACUGGGUGGAUGAGUGGCGAACGGGUGAGUAAUACGUGAGUAACCUGCCCUUGACUCUGGGAUAAGCCUGGGAAACUGGGUCUAAUACUGGAUACGACAUGUCACCGCAUGGUGGUGCGUGGAAAGGGUUUUACUGGUUUUGGAUGGGCUCACGGCCUAUCAGCUUGUUGGUGGGGUAAUGGCUCACCAAGGCGACGACGGGUAGCCGGCCUGAGAGGGUGACCGGCCACACUGGGACUGAGACACGGCCCAGACUCCUACGGGAGGCAGCAGUGGGGAAUAUUGCACAAUAGGCGGAAGCCUGAUGCAGCGACGCCGCGUGAGGGAUGACGGCCUUCGGGUUGUAAACCUCUUUCAGCACGGAAGAAGCGAAAGUGACGGUACGUGCAGAAGAAGCGCCGGCUAACUACGUG
rnacentral:rRNA from 1 species